AUCAACGCUGGCGGCAGGCUUACACAUGCAAUUCGAAGGAGAAGCAGGACUUACGUCCUGUGUGACACUGGCGAACGGGUGAGUAACGCGUGGGAACCUACCCUGGGGUGGGGGACAACCACUGGAAACGGUGGCUAAUACCGCAUACGCCCUCCGGGGGAAAACUUUUGUGCCCUGGGAUGGUCCCGCGUCGGAUUAGCUAGUUGGUGGGGUAACGGCCUACCAAGGCGACGAUCCGUAACUGGUCUGAGAGGAUGAUCAGUCACACUGGAACUGAGACACGGUCCAGACUCCUACGGGAGGCAGCAGUGGGGAAUAUUGGACAAUGGGGGCAACCCUGAUCCAGCCAUGCCGCGUGGGUGAAGAAGGCCUUAGGGUUGUAAAACCCUUUCAGCGGGGAAGAUGAUGACGGUACCCGCAGAAGAAGCCCCGGCUAACUCCGUGCCAGCAGCCGCGGUAAUACGGAGGGGGCUAGCGUUGUUCGGAAUUACUGGGCGUAAAGGGCGUGUAGGCGGUCUAUCGAGUCAGGCGUGAAAGCCCCGGGCUUAACCUGGGAACUGCGUUUGAUACUGGUAGACUAGAGGUUGGAAGAGGAGAGUGGAAUUCCAGUGUAGAGGUGAAUUCGUAGAUUAGGGAAGACACAGUGGCGAAGGAGAUCUCUGGUCAUACCUGAAGUUAGGCCGAAGCGUGGGAGCAACGGAUUAAUCCCUGUAUCCAGC
rnacentral:rRNA from 1 species